UCUCUCCCGUCCCGCCUACUAUUUCGGGUUCGGGUGAGGGACCUCUGCAGGCCGAUUCCGAAAGUGCUUCGUCGCUCCAUCCCUCUCGCACGGAAGGGGCGUCCCGCAGGGGUGCGAGAGAGACAGAGCGACGCACACCGCUGUAGUUUGAAUCCGAACACUGCCGCUGCUCUUCCCACACCCCCAAGGGGCGCCCCAGGAGUACGAGAGAGAGGCAGCGACAAACCACCUCUUCGGAAUCAGUCUGCCGGGAGGUGCCGGGUCGGGCGGGCAGGAGCGAGUGCCUCCAGCUAGCGCCACGCCACUGCCACGCCACGCACGACCCGCACAAACAAAACACAGCAGUCGGGCCCCAACCGCCAACCUUGGAGGGGGCUACGCCAGGCUACGCCGGACGCGCGACGCCUGGACGGGACGGGACGGCCCGCCAUAACCUAUCGCAACGAGUGUGACGCUCUUGCCGGCGGCAGCGCGCGCGUCAAGGCCAAGUUCACCAAGUCCACCAAGUCCGCCAUGAGCGAUUGCGACUGCGGGUCCUGCGACUGCGGCGACUGCGACUGCGGAACCUGCGGCGAUUGCGGUGAUUGCACCGGUUGCUGCGAUUGCGCCGGUUGCGCUGAUUGCACGUGUUUCGGCGCCGACACCGGCAGCGCCGCCGACACCCCGGCCAGCGAGGGGAACUGCUGCACCUCCCUGUUUGCCUGCUCCUUCGCGGAGUGCGUCGAUGCGUCGUGUGAGAGCACGUACUGCCUCUGUUCUUCCGACAGCGACCGGACCAAGAGAAAAGGUGAAGAAAGAGGAGGAGUGGAAGGGGGAGGGGACGCGGCAGAAGAUCUGCUCGAGCAGUCCGAGGUGCAGCGCAUGCAGCCGGCGAGGACGGACCUACCUUACGCCUUCCCUCCAGCACGCAGGGAGGACUUGUACGCCGUGACGGACAAUUCGAUGGCCGAAGGUCAAGCAUCCCGUGUGUAGGGGCAGCCAUAGGCAGCCAUAGGCGGCCACGCAGCACUACAAUGAAACUUUAAGGCCGCUCUGAGGCCCCGGCUGUCGAAUGGGUUGCCUACGCUGUCGGCGGCCCCGUCCUGGUGCGCAGUGGACUCCGUGUUCGCGUGGCGUGCAUUCACUUUCAAAGGGGCUUUUGGUGGUAAAAUAUUUAUUUACUUUAAUAUCUUUAUAAAUACACAUAGAAAAAUACAAAUUCAGCUUAAAACUAUUACGUGAUUUACAUCACUAGAAUAGACGUUGAUUUUCGUCCAUACGGUUGUUUUUUUCGAGCAAUUUCAUUGUCCAGUGAAGUGUCCAAUUCAGAUUCACCUAAAGUUCGGCCAAUUAUUGUAUCCAAAACUCCUUGAAAUUUCUACGAAUUUAUCUGAUGCGAAUGGCAAAUUCUUCGACAAUAAGCUAGUAACAAUAAAUUUAUGUUUCUCUGUGUCAUCCCAGACACCCAGAUAGUCUAUUUUUGCCCGUAGUUGUUCUCUCCCCCCUGAAAACUCAGCCAUACAAUAAAUACGAAGUUGAA